ACUCAUACCUUUCUCGGCCUUUUGGCUAAGAUCAAGUGUAGUAUCUGUUCUUAUCAGUUUAAUAUCUGAUAUGUGGUCCAUCGGGCCACACGAUAUUAACUUUAUUUUUUGAGGGAGAAAGUCCAUUAAGGUAGCUUGCUAUCUGGGGUUUCAAGAGUUGCCUGGGUUGCACUACAGCAAUGGGCCGGCUCAUCCCGCCAAAACAAGUCCAAUAUUUUCUUUUUAAAUCAUCUCUUUUGGGCUUUGGAACUUAACCGUCAAAAUUCGAAAUCAGUGGGAACAACCUUUUUAAUUGAAUCAAAAUCUAUAUUUGAACCGAAACCAAACCGGCAAAAAUUAGUAUGCAAACCGAACCAUCGUUGUAUAAACGUUCUGUAUGAAAUAAAAUGUGGGAACAAAAAUUUCCGGGAAAAUUGAGGGAUAGAGAUGGGGAAGGCGAUAGGAUUGCUGCUAAGCGGGACGCUUGUUUAUCACCAUUACUGUGCUAAUCGAAACGCGACUCUUCUCUCCCUCUUCUCCGAUGUUCUUAUCAUUCCUCGCCAACUCAAUGUCUCGGUACCUGUGGAUCCAUUGGAGUGCCAAAUAUCACACGUUACAGCCUGUAAUAUCGUUGCAUCGCUUAGCUAAUACUGUCGGAGCAGCUGAAUCCGUUCUGCGAGUUGCAGCAACGGGCCAUGACGAGAGGCAAUUUGCUAAGGCUAGUUCACAGUCUCUCUGUUAUUACUUUAGCAGAGAUAGUUCUGUUAGAUCACCUGUGUUUAUCCGAAGGCAACAGUAGCAUUUACUAUGUUUAAGACCAUUCACUACCAUUCUGCAGAAUCCUGACCAUUGUGUGUAUUUUACCCAAUAACCAGACAGACGACGAUCUUUCAGGUUCUAAGCUGCAUUUGUGUGAACUACGGAUGUUUCUUUCUUCUCAGGUCUUUACUUCUUGGCAGCUCUGGGUGGGACGAAUAAUAUCAGGACUAUGUUUGUUCUGUCUCUACAUGCUCUAAAAGAAUUCUCAAGCUACCGGAAACUCUGUACCAAGACGAACAAACCGAGAGAUUUUGGAAUGAGAAAGUACCUUUAGAGUUCUGCUUAACGUCUGACCGCCAAUCACAAUCUCUCUAAAGCUGUUCUCUUCUUUUUUUUUUUUUUUUGGCAACCUUCCCAAUUCCCAUGUUCAUAUAGCUAUUGAUAGGUGUAGUUUCUAAAUGUAAAC